UUUGUUUUCAGGAUUUAUUAUUGUUACUAUUGUUGUUAUUAAUGGGGAAAGGGUUUAGUUCCUGUGUUUUCCCUGUGCCCAUGGGAAUCUUUGAGCCCAUUACAGCCCCAAGUGCUGCAGCCACAGGGCAGCUCACUGUGAAGCCCAACUGGUGCCCACUUCUCUUUUUGCACCCCCACCCCCAGAUGUGCAGAGGCUCUGCAAGUGCUGUGGAAAUGCUUCCAGUGUGUCUUUCACUGAAAAAAAAAAAAGAAAAAAAUGGAAUUUCAUUAAAUCUGCUUUGAAGUAGAGGGGAAAAUCCCCACGCUGUGCCAGCGCUUCGCUUUGUCUCCAUUGGACAAUUAGGAAGAAUGCAGCUUUCCAGGAGCAUCACUCGUUCUUUCUCAGCUUUAAAACUUCUCUUCCACCUUGCUCUCCAGGCAGCAGUUUUUAACUUCACCUCAGAUUUCCAGCUGCCUCUCUGAGAGCAAAGACCUCAGCCACAAGACUGCAGCAUGCCCACCUGGAUAUGGGCAGCCCCCAUGCCAGCUCCACUCAGAGCCAUGGGGCAGAAUGGGGGAAGACAUAGUGUGGGAUGUCCAUGCGAUGGGAUGCCCAGGAGAUGGGCUGUUUGUGGGAC
rnacentral:lncRNA from 1 species